rnacentral:rRNA from 1 species
CACGGAGGAUGCGAGCGUUAUCCGGAUUUAUUGGGUUUAAAGGGUGCGUAGGCGGAUUUUUAAGUCAGCGGUAAAAUGUCCGGGCUCAACCCGGGCCGGCCGUUGAAACUGGGGAUCUUGAGUGGGCGAGAAGUAUGCGGAAUGCGUGGUGUAGCGGUGAAAUGCAUAGAUAUCACGCAGAACUCCGAUUGCGAAGGCAGCAUACCGGCGCCCGACUGACGCUGAGGCACGAAAGCGUGGGGAUCGAACAGG